UUACGACCACAUCAGGUUGAAACAACACCCGUUACCGUACGAACACUGAAGUGAAACAAAACCGAGCCUUGUCAGUAUCUGGAUGGAUGACCGUUUAGGAAUACCAGGUACUGGCA